rnacentral:tRNA from 1 species
AAGGAAAUUAUUUGGGAAGCUGCUAACUAUCUUAAUAAGCAAUUAAUAAUUGUUUUUUCCUUA